GCUUAGAGUUUGAUCCUGGCUCAGGAUGAACGCUGGCGGCGUGCCUAACACAUGCAAGUCGAGGGAGAAGCUACCUUCGGGUAGUGGAAACCGGCGCACGGGUGAGUAACACGUAGCUAUCUGCCCCAAAGAGAGGGAUAACAGUUGGAAACAGCUGCUAAUACCUCAUACCCUCGUAAGAGGAAAGCUCAAGC
rnacentral:rRNA from 1 species